CAGCAGCCGCGGUAAUACGUAGGGGGCGAGCGUUGUCNGGAAUUAUUGGGCGUAAAACGCGCCCAGGCGCUCCCUUAAGUCUSAUGUGAACCCCCACGGCCCAAACGUGGAGGGUCAUUGGAAACUGGGGGACUUGAGUGCAGAAGAGGAGAGCGGAAUUCCACGUGUAGCGNUGAAAUGCGUAGAGAUGUGGAGGAACACCAGUGGCGAAGGCGGCUCUCUGGUCUGUAACUGACGCUGAGGCGCGAAAGCGUGGGGAGCAAACAGGAUUAGAUACCCUGGUAGUCCACGCCGUAAACGAUGAGUKCUAAGUGUUAGAGGGGUCAUUCCCUUUAGUGCUGUAGCUAACGGKUNNAAGACUCCGCCUGGGGRGUACGGCCGCAAGGCUGAAACUCAAAGGAAUUGACGG
rnacentral:rRNA from 1 species